AGUCUGUGAUGAAGAAAUGGUGUAAUUGUCACUUAAAUAUGAUUAAUCUGUGAUUACAUAUUUACCACUACUGCCUUCCUUCUGAGCCU